rnacentral:rRNA from 1 species
AUUGAACUCUGGCGGCAGGCUUAACACAUGCAAGUCGAACGAUGAUUAUCUAGCUUGCUAGAUAUGAUUAGUGGCGGACGGGUGAGUAACAUUUAGGAAUCUGCCUAGUAGUGGGGGAUAGCUCGGGGAAACUCGAAUUAAUACCGCAUACGACCUACGGGUGAAAGGGGGCGCAAGCUCUUGCUAUUAGAUGAGCCUAAAUCAGAUUAGCUAGUUGGUGGGGUAAAGGCCCACCAAGGCGACGAUCUGUAACUGGUCUGAGAGGAUGAUCAGUCACACCGGAACUGAGACACGGUCCGGACUCCUACGGGAGGCAGCAGUGGGGAAUAUUGGACAAUGGGGGCAACCCUGAUCCAGCCAUGCCGCGUGUGUGAAGAAGGCCUUUUGGUUGUAAAGCACUUUAAGCAGGGAGGAGAGGCUAAUGGUUAAUACCCAUUAGAUUAGACGUUACCUGCAGAAUAAGCACCGGCUAACUCUGUGCCAGCAGCCGCGGUAAUACAGAGGGUGCGAGCGUUAAUCGGAAUUACUGGGCGUAAAGCGAGUGUAGGUGGCUCAUUAAGUCACAUGUGAAAUCCCCGGGCUUAACCUGGGAGCUGCAUGUGAUACUGGUGGUGCUAGAAUAUGUGAGAGGGAAGUAGAAUUCCAGGUGUAGCGGUGAAAUGCGUAGAGAUCUGGAGGAAUACCGAUGGCGAAGGCAGCUUCCUGGCAUAAUAUUGACACUGAGAUUCGAAAGCGUGGGUAGCAAACAGGAUUAGAUACCCUGGUAGUCCACGCCGUAAACGAUGUCUACUAGCCGUUGGGGUCCUUGAGACUUUAGUGGCGCAGUUAACGCGAUAAGUAGACCGCCUGGGGAGUACGGCCGCAAGGUUAAAACUCAAAUGAAUUGACGGGGGCCCGCACAAGCGGUGGAGCAUGUGGUUUAAUUCGAUGCAACGCGAAGAACCUUACCUGGUCUUGACAUAGUGAGAAUCCUGCAGAGAUGCGGGAGUGCCUUCGGGAAUUCACAUACAGGUGCUGCACGGCUGUCGUCAGCUCGUGUCGUGAGAUGUUGGGUUAAGUCCCGCAACGAGCGCAACCCUUUUCCUUAUUUGCCAGCGGGUUAAGCCGGGAACUUUAAGGAUACUGCCAGUGACAAACUGGAGGAAGGCGGGGACGACGUCAAGUCAUCAUGGCCCUUACGACCAGGGCUACACACGUGCUACAAUGGUAGGUACAGAGGGUUGCUACACAGCGAUGUGAUGCUAAUCUCAAAAAGCCUAUCGUAGUCCGGAUUGGAGUCUGCAACUCGACUCCAUGAAGUCGGAAUCGCUAGUAAUCGCAGAUCAGAAUGCUGCGGUGAAUACGUUCCCGGGCCU